rnacentral:rRNA from 1 species
GACGAACGCUGGCGGCGUGCUUAACACAUGCAAGUCGAACGGAAAGGCUCUGCUUUUGUGGGGUGCUCGAGUGGCGAACGGGUGAGUAACACGUGAGUAACCUGCCCUUGACUUUGGGAUAACUUCAGGAAACUGGGGCUAAUACCGGAUAGGAGCUCCUGCCGCAUGGUGGGGGUUGGAAAGUUUCGGCGGUUGGGGAUGGACUCGCGGCUUAUCAGCUUGUUGGUGGGGUAGUGGCUUACCAAGGCUUUGACGGGUAGCCGGCCUGAGAGGGUGACCGGCCACAUUGGGACUGAGAUACGGCCCAGACUCCUACGGGAGGCAGCAGUGGGGAAUAUUGCACAAUGGGCGGAAGCCUGAUGCAGCAACGCCGCGUGCGGGAUGACGGCCUUCGGGUUGUAAACCGCUUUCGCCUGUGACGAAGCGUGAGUGACGGUAAUGGGUAAAGAAGCACCGGCUAACUACGUG